rnacentral:rRNA from 1 species
UACGAAGGGGGCUAGCGUUGCUCGGAAUCACUGGGCGUAAAGCGCACGUAGGCGGACUCUUAAGUCGGUGGUGAAAUCCUGGAGCUCAACUCCAGAACUGCCUUCGAUACUGGCAGUCUCGAGUGCGGGAGAGGUGAGUGGAAUUCCCAGUGUAGAGGUGAAAUUCGUAGAUAUUGGGAAGAACACCAGUGGCGAAGGCGGCUCACUGGCCCGUAACUGACGCUGAGGAGCGAAAGCAUGGGGAGCGAACAGG